rnacentral:rRNA from 1 species
AAGCAGCGGAGCGUGUGGUUUAAUUUCGAUGCUACACGAAGAACCUUACCAGGGUUUGACAUGCAAGUGGUAGGAAACUGAAAAGGGACGACCCUUCGGGGAGCUUGCACAGGUGCUGCAUGGCUGUCGUCAGCUCGUGUCGUGAGAUGUUCGGUUAAGUCCGCUAACGAGCGCAACCCUCACUGUGUGUUAUAUGUGUCACACGGGACUGCCGGUUUUAAGCCGGAGGAAGGUGGGGAUGACGUCAAGUCAGCAUGGCCUUUAUAUCCUGGGCUACACACACGCUACAAUGGUCGGUACAAUAGGUUGCCAAGCCGCGAGGCGGAGCCAAGUCCAAAAAAGCCGGCCUCAGUUCAGAUUGUAGGCUGCAACUCGCCUGCAUGAAGAUGGAGUUGCUAGUAACCGCAGGUCAGCAAUACUGCGGUGAAUACGUUCCCGGGUCUU